GACGGUAACGGGUGCAUCCCUAGAACGUGGCACGACGAGGCGUUUCUGAAGGAACAAGAAAGCAGUGUCGCCACCACCACGAGAAAGCAGGCAUCGCCUUCACAGUCAACAAAAGCUACGGCCUACGACGGAUACGGUCUCCCCUCCACUGCCUCCCUUGCCCUAUUGUCUUCUUCAUCUCAUCGCAUCCCAUAGUUGUGCCAGUUGGAGACGCUUCUGUUGCUGAAGGAGACCUACAUAAACUAUAGUCAGCCGCUAAGUUAAACAAGCCACGUGCUGGGCCAGAACCUAGCAGGCUUAAGGAUGAGUAAAAUGAUAUCUGUUCAACAUGAGGCACAACGAUAUCUAUCUUUCAAGAAUCAGUAAACUGAUAUCUGCUAGAUGUGCUUCUCUAUCUUCGUUUGUUUUGAAACACAUAUAUAGUUGAAAAACUGUAGUGGUGAGAAACUCGAAAUGAAUCUGAGCCAGAACUCAGCUCAGACUGCCAAAUUUCAUAAUUUUAUUCACAAAUUUCAACAAUAUUGAACAUUGAGUAUAUAUUAAGCGAAUACCAAAAUCAUGUUUUCUAGCAUAUUUCAUGCCAUGAUGACAUCUUCCUGGCAAUGUGAUCCUAGCCACCAGAUGCAUAGUUGCUGUAUUUUUAUGAAUGGUAUUUUUAUAACAAAUUAUUUAGAGUCAUAAAUGUAAAUAUGAAUUACUAAAAACUUAGGAGGAAACACUUCUUUUAGUUUCUACGAAACAAUUUUAGGACAUCUUAGCCCCUGAAGUACCUAAAAGCACAUAUGGGUAUCCAGCUGUUGAUUGUUUUUCAUCAUAUUGUGUUUGCUGCAAAAGUGCAAAUAUAACACAUAUGCACAAUGGUGCUAUAUGGGUGAAUGUCAUUACUGCAGUCAAGGUGUUUAUUUUCUCAUAAUGUUGCUUAUUUAUUAGGUGUUUAUUUUCUCAUAGUGUUGCUUAUUUAUUAGGUCAUUCAACCUAAAAUGUGUCUUAUGCCAUCACAACAUUGAUUUACUCCAUGAUACAUAUGGAGUGCUGGAGGAGAUAGUCCCUAUUAAUUGAUGUUAAUUUGAUUCCCAUGCUAUUGUUUUAGUAAUCACUAAUUUCCCUACCUUGUUUCUUGAUUGCUAGGCUCUCUGUAGUUUACUAAGUGACUUUUUGUUAGCUACUGUGAUAUCGGGAAUUGAUAACAACCAUCAUCUUUAUAAUAGUUAUUACCUAUUAGGAUAUGCAACAUCUUGAACUUUUAGGUACAGGCAGAUAUAAGAGUGAGCGCCUCUCAACUUGAACGGAUUAUCUUGUUUCUAUGUUUUUGUUUAUCACAUAGACGAAGUUAAUGCUUAAUCCCUAGAGAUGCAUAUAACCAAGUGGCGCUUACUUGGAUCUGAGAACCUCUGGUGCUUGUUUAUCUCAAGUAAGCCUUUUGAGUCUUAAUGUUUCAUUGAAGAACAUCAAUGCUUAAUUGCAAGUCAAUGUUGUAAUUCUUGAGAAGAAGCCAGGGAAGCUUAUAAGAAGAAAGGAUGGGCUCUAACAAAUCCUUUACCUAAUUUACCAGGUAGAUCAGCUAUUUUACCUAGAUUUAUUCAGGAAAGUUUACAUUUAGCCUUUCUUUGGGAGAAUCUUACAUUUUAACUUAUGGUGCACUAUUAGUCCACUGCUUUUGAGAACAAGGAGGUUCGUCAUGAACUAGUUGUUCACAAUAUGCUAAAUCGUUAGAAAGUUAACUACUAACUACAAUGAAACCGAUUUUUUAUGAAACAUUUAUUAUUUUGUCACCACUUGCAAUACAGAAGACAAAACUCAUGAAAUUUGAUAAAUGUAAUCCUCACAUUUGAACCAUAGUAGUGCAGUACCACAAGAAUAGUUUCAUUCAUUAUCUGCAAAGUCAUCCCUUAUAGUUGUCAAUGAACUAUCAUGUGAAGGCAGAAUUAGAACUUUGUGAUUCUCACAUUUGCGAUUGCUUGUUUAUUUAUGUGUCUGAAUAAGAGCGUUACUACAAAAUAUUUGACCUAUUUUGGCAAUUUUAUUUAUUGUGUAAUCAUGGCCUAGAUGUUUAGAUUAUUGAUUAGCAGAUUUUCUAUGCAUUAUUCUGAGUUCGUAGACAAUAGACAUAGGUGUCUUUUGAUAUUAAUUUUCAGGUCAAAGGUCAGUUUUGUGGAAAAUAUACAAUAUGUUAGUAUCUUCAAUAGUACAAGAUCAUGUACCACAUGUCAAUAUUAAUAUCAACUAAUUUCUUGGUUAUUUACAAUAGGAUGGGAGAGUGUCGAAUGAUUUUUCAGAUACUAUUUCUUGGUCCGUCAAAUCUAUUUGACCUAAAUGCAAGUUUUUGCUCAAAUGUGGCAAAAAAUGAUUGUCUCACCAAUUGUCAGCACGGCUGCCUCCAACAAAGUUAGAAUGAAAAGAUGGAAUAAAACUUUGGUGGUCGCACAUGUGUGGAGACUUGAGUUUAUAUAUACUUAGUUAGGCUCAAUGUUAACGCAAAUAGGUGAUGACCAAAAUUUUCAAUUAGUACUUUAGUUUGAAUUUAGAUUACACUUUUGUAUGAGUUAUUUGACAAUGCUUAUUUAUGAGAUAUUGAAUGAUACUUAUCUAUGUUAUAUUAAUUAUAAUGUUAUUAAA